CUGGUGGCAGCCCAGACUGCCUCGGUCCGGGAGGGAGAGGGUUUCUCAGCAGAGAUCCCCACGCAGCAUCCCCAGAACUGGGCACACGUGCCAGGACACCGAGACCAGGAUGGGGCGAGCGAGGAGGGAGUUUCGGGGUGCCCAGCGAGCGAGGGGUCUUCAACUGCACCCGUAGAUGUUACAUCCCAGGCAGGGUCUGCUUUAAAUCCCUCCCUCCUCCCUCCCUCCCUGGCGAGGAACUUCUCUCGCUGAACUGGAGGAUGCUGCAAGCUCCUGCGGACGAGCCGGAGGAGUCCUGUGGCAAAGUCAAGGCGAGCGAAGAAGCAGCGUGGUCAUGCCGGGUGUCACCGCAGCCCGCUGCCGCCAGCCCAGCCUGCUGCGGCCGCUGUCACCUCCAGGACCGGACCAGGCCUAGAGCAGACUCAUCUCAGCUCUCGCUCCUGCCCAGCCCACCAUGGGUAAGUUGGGUGUCUCGGGGAGUUGAGGGGUACAAAAGCUGCAGUGGGGCAGAUCAGGGGGGCACGGGGACCCUGGGGUUCGUCCCUUCUCCCCUCUCCUGCUGGGUGUCUGCAGGGCUGAAGGAGGGUGGGGCUGGGAGAGCUGCUGCUGCCCCCGGACCCCUGCCCUGCCUGGCACAGGGCACUGGACUCCUGCCAGGAGCAGCUCUAGUGCCCACACUCCUGCUCUUCCGUCAUUUUCCUUCUUGACAUUUAUUCCAGCUGUCAUUGCAUUCAUUGCGGGAGUCUUCGUAGGAGCUGCAGUUGCAGGUGAGAGUUUGGCAUGGGAUGAGCUGUGCUGGGCUUCAUUUGGGAGCUGCUAGGAGGGAAGGGGGCAGCACUGGUCACUGCCUGGAAUUCUGUCUGCCCCUGCUGCUGCAGCCCUGCACACUGCUCCUCUGCUGCUGCCCAUGGGGUGUCCCCACACCUGCACCCCCAGCCCUCGAUCCUCAUUCUGGUCCCUGGGUGCUUUUGGGGAGGCUGGUUCUGGUGCUGGUGGCAGUGGGGGAUGUGGGUCACAGAGAGCACCCUAAUGCUGUACUGUCCUCCCUGCAGCAGCAGCAGCAGCAGCAGCAGUAGCAGGUGGUGUGCCAGAGGACCUCCAUGACAAGCAGGUUAGCAAGACUAAAGCUCUUGCUGUUGCUAUCACGGUCGGUGUGUGGGGUGGGCAGGGUGCUGGGCUCUGCUGGAUGGGAACACAGGGUUCCUCUAAACACAGGGUUCUCUUGGGCUUCCUUUAAAACCCAACUGGUUCUUUAACUCCACUCUGGUCUGAAUCUCCCCAAACUGUUGGACAGGGGAAAUCCCCAAUAUGGUGGGAAGAGCCAGAAGCUGCUGGGAUAACGAUCAAGGCUGAGGGCAUCAGGGCUGUGCAGGCAGAUGUGUGCUCUGUGGCAAGAACUCCUGUGUCCACUGGCAGCAGUGGGCAGAGGGAAAAAGGGAGAGCAGAAAGGGCUCAGCUUGGAUGUGCUAAGGGAGCAGAACUCAAUGUAAGGCAAAUCUCUGCCACAGCCUGAAGACACCCUUGGUGGAGAGACAUUGCUGCCUGUUCCUGCCUGUGCUGGUCCAUGAACAGGCAGCCUUGAUGCUUCUGGGACAUAACACUCCUGUCUCUAUAGGGGGAAACCUAAUGGCCUUGGCUCCAAGCCGCAGCCCAAGCUAUGCCUGCCACAAGAAGGAAUGAUGACCAGUGCUAAUGAACAGAAGCAGAUUUCCUUCCUGUCAAAGCAGCCUGAUUCGUGUCUUCCAAUUGCAGCAACUGGAAAGACCCGGCUGACACACAGCUGCCCCUUUCACAGAUUUGAAUUACCUUGAGCAAUAAAUGCUUUGAAAGUUUUAAUAAAAGUGCAUGUCUGGUGUGUGUAUGUGGUGUUCCUUGG
ensembl:lncRNA